AACGAACGCUGGCGGCAGGCCUAACACAUGCAAGUCGAACGGAUCCUUCGGGAUUAGUGGCGGACGGGUGAGUAACGCGUGGGAACGUACCCUUUGCUACGGAAUAACUCAGGGAAACUUGUGCUAAUACCGGAUGUGCUCUACGGGGCAAAGAUUUAUCGGCAUAGGAUCGGCCCGCGUUGGAUUAGCUAGUUGGUGGGGUAAUGGCCUACCAAGGCGACGAUCCAUAGCUGGUCUGAGAGGAUGAUCAGCCACACUGGGACUGAGACACGGCCCAGACUCCUACGGGAGGCAGCAGUGGGGAAUAUUGGACAAUGGGCGCAAGCCUGAUCCAGCCAUGCCGCGUGAGUGAUGAAGGUCUUAGGGUUGUAAAGCUCUUUCACCGGUGAAGAUAAUGACGGUAGCCGGAGAAUAAGCCCCGGCUAACUUCGUG
rnacentral:rRNA from 1 species